CAGCCGCCACGGGAAUACGUAGGUGGCAAGCGUUGUCCGGAAUCAUAGGGCGUAAAGCGCGCGCAGGUGGUUUAAUAAGUCUGAUGUGAAAGCCCACGGCUCAACCGUGGAGGGUCAUUGGAAACUGUUAAACUUGAGUGCAGGAGAGAAAAGUGGAAUUCCUAGUGUAGCGGUGAAAUGCGUAGAGAUUAGGAGGAACACCAGUGGCGAAGGCGGCUUUUUGGCCUGUAACUGACACUGAGGCGCGAAAGCGUGGGGAGCAAACAGGAUUAGAUACCCGUGUAGUCCCUGUCUCUUAUAC
rnacentral:rRNA from 1 species